rnacentral:rRNA from 1 species
GUGGGGAAUCUUAGACAAUGGGCGCAAGCCUGAUCUAGCCAUGCCGCGUGAGCGAUGAAGGCCUUAGGGUUGUAAAGCUCUUUCAGCUGGGAAGAUAAUGACGGUACCAGCAGAAGAAGCCCCGGCUAACUCCGUGCCAGCAGCCGCGGUAAUACGGAGGGGGCUAGCGUUGUUCGGAAUUACUGGGCGUAAAGCGCACGUAGGCGGAUUGGAAAGUUGGGGGUGAAAUCCCGGGGCUCAACCCCGGAACUGCCUUCAAAACUCCCAGUCUUGAGUUCGAGAGAGUUGAGUGGAAUUCCGAGUGUAGAGGUGAAAUUCGUAGAUAUUCGGAGGAACACCAGUGGCGAAGGCGGCUCACUGGCUCGAUACUGACGCUGAGGUGCGAAAGCGUGGGGAGCAAACAGGAUUAGAUACCCGGGUAGUCC